GAUGAAGAACGUAGCAAAAUGCGAUACUUGGUGUGAAUUGCAGAAUCCCGUGAACCAUCGAGUUUUUGAACGCAAGUUGCGCCCGAAGCCUUUUGGCCGAGGGCACGUCUGCCUGGGCGUCACGCAUCGCGUCGCCCCCCACAGUUCUCCGUAAAAGGAACAUGUGUUUUGGGGGCGGAUAUUGGUCUCCCGUGCUCAUGGCGUGGUUGGCCGAAAUAGGAGUCCUUUCGAUGGACGCACGAACUAGUGGUGGUCGUAAAAACCCUCGUCUUUUGUUUCGUGCUGUUGCUCGCAAGGUAAACUCUUUAAAAACCCCAAUGUGUCGUCUCUUGACGACGCUUCGACCGCGACCCCAGGUCAGGCGGGACUACCCGCUGAGUUUAAGCAUAUCAAUAAGCGGAGGA
rnacentral:misc_RNA from 1 species